GUCCCCUUAGUUCAGCUGGAUAGAACAAGGACCUCCUAAGUCUUAGACACAGGUUCGAAUCCUGUAGGGGACGCCA
rnacentral:tRNA from 14 species